rnacentral:tRNA from 1 species
AAGAAUUUAGGUUAAAUCAAACCAAAGGCCUUCAAAGCCUUAAAUGGGGGUUAAAAUCUCCCAGUUCUUA